GUGGGGAAUAUUGGACAAUGGGCGAAAGCCUGAUCCAGCCAUGCCGCGUGUGUGAAGAAGGUCUUCGGAUUGUAAAGCACUUUAAGUUGGGAGGAAGGGCAGUAAGUUAAUACCUUGCUGUUUUGACGUUACCGACAGAAUAAGCACCGGCUAACUUCGUGCCAGCAGCCGCGGUAAUACGAAAGGUGCAAGCGUUAAUCGGAAUUACUGGGCGUAAAGCGCGCGUAGGUGGUUUUGUAAGUUGGAGGUGAAAUCCCCGGGCUCAACCUGGGAACUGCCUCCAAAACUGCAUGACUAGAGUACGGUAGAGGGUAGUGGAAUUUCCUGUGUAGCGGUGAAAUGCGUAGAUAUAGGAAGGAACACCAGUGGCGAAGGCGACUACCUGGACUGAUACUGACACUGAGGUGCGAAAGCGUGGGGAGCAAACAGGAUUAGAUACCCUUGUAGUCC
rnacentral:rRNA from 1 species